rnacentral:rRNA from 1 species
GAUGAACGCUGGCGGCGUGCCUAAUACAUGCAAGUCGAGCGAAUGGAUUAAGAGCUUGCUCUUAUGAAGUUAGCGGCGGACGGGUGAGUAACACGUGGGUAACCUGCCCAUAAGACUGGGAUAACUCCGGGAAACCGGGGCUAAUACCGGAUAAUAUUUUGAACCGCAUGGUUCGAAAUUGAAAGGCGGCUUCGGCUGUCACUUAUGGAUGGACCCGCGUCGCAUUAGCUAGUUGGUGAGGUAACGGCUCACCAAGGCAACGAUGCGUAGCCGACCUGAGAGGGUGAUCGGCCACACUGGGACUGAGACACGGCCCAGACUCCUACGGGAGGCAGCAGUAGGGAAUCUUCCGCAAUGGACGAAAGUCUGACGGAGCAACGCCGCGUGAGUGAUGAAGGCUUUCGGGUCGUAAAACUCUGUUGUUAGGGAAGAACAAGUUCUAGUUGAAUAAGCUGGCACCUUGACGGUACCUAACCAGAAAGCCACGGCUAACUACGUGCCAGCCGCCGCCGUAA